rnacentral:rRNA from 1 species
CACGUAGGGUGCGAGCGUUGUCCGGAAUUAUUGGGCGUAAAGAGCUCGUAGGCGGUGUGUCGCGUCGGCCGUGAAAACCUGCAGCUUAACUGUGGGCUUGCGGUCGAUACGGGCAUCACUGGAGUUCGGCAGGGGAGACUGGAAUUCCUGGUGUAGCGGUGAAAUGCGCAGAUAUCAGGAGGAACACCGGUGGCGAAGGCGGCGCUCUGGACCGAGACUGACGCUGAGGCGCGAAAGCGUGGGGAGCAACAGG